rnacentral:lncRNA from 1 species
GAGCAGAUUGAUGUAUCUGUUUAGACUGGUUGCCCUCAGGGCUCUCUGGGAACCUGGUCUGACUUUCUAGUGCCCAGGCAGGCACUGCCCCAGAUCACUGCGUAUAUAGGCAGGAAAGGCAGGGGAGGCAGCGGCGGGAAGCCUUCCUUAGCUGUGUGAUCCUAGGUGGCUGUUAACUUAGCAUUUGAGGACUGUCUCAGAUAGACACAAUUGGACCAGCAAUGCAUUUUGCUCAAUUGAACUGAAUGCUCAAGAUCCUCAAGAAAGGGAGAAGAGAAAUUAUCAUAACAGAGUCUCCAAGUCUGGUUGUAAGAAAGCAUCAGAUAGCAGGCAUCCAUUUCUUCAUGCGUUCUUCAGUUCAUGUAGACUGUUUUCAGCAGACAAGAGUCCUAAGUGGAUGCCUGAUUGGCUGAUCCUGGGCCACUUGCCUGCUCACUGGAUGUACUGAGGCCAUGAGAAGAAGGAUCUGGCAAAACAAACCUCAGGGACCUCAUCAAGAAGGCAGAGGACCUGGACUAACCAUGGCAUCCAAACUGAACACAAUUUUAGAGA